rnacentral:rRNA from 1 species
UACGGAGGGGGCUAGCGUUAUUCGGAAUUACUGGGCGUAAAGCGCACGUAGGCGGAUUGGAAAGUCAGAGGUGAAAUCCCAGAGCUCAACUUUGGAACUGCCUUUGAAACUCUCAGUCUUGAGGUCGAGAGAGGUGAGUGGAAUUCCGAGUGUAGAGGUGAAAUUCGUAGAUAUUCGGAGGAACACCAGUGGCGAAGGCGGCUCUCUGGUCUGUAACUGACGCUGAGGCGCGAAAGCGUGGGGAGCAAACAGG